GACGAACGCUGGCGGCGUGCCUAAUACAUGCAAGUCGAGCGGAUCUUCAUUAGCUUGCUUUUGAAGAUCAGCGGCGGACGGGUGAGUAACACGUGGGCAACCUGCCUGUAAGACUGGGAUAACUUCGGGAAACCGGAGCUAAUACCGGAUAAUCCUUUUCCUCUCAUGAGGAAAAGCUGAAAGACGGUUUCGGCUGUCACUUACAGAUGGGCCCGCGGCGCAUUAGCUAGUUGGUGAGGUAACGGCUCACCAAGGCGACGAUGCGUAGCCGACCUGAGAGGGUGAUCGGCCACACUGGGACUGAGACACGGCCCAGACUCCUACGGGAGGCAGCAGUAGGGAAUCUUCCGCAAUGGACGAAAGUCUGACGGAGCAACGCCGCGUGAGCGAUGAAGGCCUUCGGGUCGUAAAGCUCUGUUGUCAGGGAAGAACAAGUAUCGGAGUAACUGCCGGUACCUUGACGGUACCUGACCAGAAAGCCACGGCUAACUACGUGCCAGCAGCCGCAGUAA
rnacentral:rRNA from 1 species